rnacentral:lncRNA from 1 species
CAAGAGAUCAGGCAUGUGCACAGUCUAUCAUCAAAUGGACAUGGUAUAUAAGAGAUCAAGUUUGAGUAGGUCUGGAAUAUAUGAGUAGAUUUCAUAACAGGCACUUCAGAUUCCUUUGACACAAACUCCUGUUGCAUUGUGUCCUGUCCUUCACCCCAUGCCUGUGACCUCAUGAACUGCUCCUUAUGACCAGUUUACUGAGGAAAACACUUAGACCUGGUUACAGCUGAACCUAUGCAGUAAGCUGGCAAUACACAAAAGUGGACAGCCUCAGCAUUACAGGGGUGACCCUGGAGUAUGAUGGAGCUGCCUGCCUUGCCUGUAAUGCUUCUGCCAGCAACACCAUCUGUGGACUGACAGAAUGCUUUAUCCACAUUCACAGGAAUCCAGCCAUCAUCUGAGGAAGCAGUUCAUGUCGCAGCAAAGGAAGUUCUGUUCUCACCACAGCCCCUAUCUUCUGGAAGCAGCUGUCGUAAUUGAAAGGGUGCAUUUCUCACCUGCACUGUGGUCCAGGAAACUCAAGUCACCGUCCCCACCAUGUUCUUCCUGACUUCGAAGCAGUCUGGUGACCCCAGGCAGGAACUGACUAGCAUGAGAGUCUUGAUGCAGGAGAAUUUUUGAAGAAAUUCAGAAGCAGAACCGAAAGGAGGAGAGAAGCCACCUCCACCCUGUCCACUAACCUUCAGUGGGAACAGCAGAUGCAACUGGCGGGGCUGAAGGUCAGUGGGAACUCCAGGGCCCCAGAGAAGGCCUGCACCACACUGAGCAGGAUCCAGGAGAGUGGAGAAGGGAGGUCGAGGUCCCUGUUAGAGGAGGGUGUGAAGGGGUCAAGAUGAAGGAGCAGCAGGACCUGAGGCCCUCCCUCUGCACACAGACUUUCUCUGGUGGGCUCAGGCUCUGGCAACAGCCCCUUAUUUACUCCCCUCUCCCUCUGUUCAGGCUCAGCCCAUCCCCCCUUAGCUGAUGGAGGAGGGGUCAUAAUGGGACCCUUGUGAUGUCACUGCAUCCCACCCCUCAUUCCUCCGUGUGAAGUCCCCCUAGCACUGUCCCUGCGCUACGCCCUGUCCCAGAGGGCCCACCCAGUGAUAGCCCUUUCCUUCCUUCUAGCCCCUCCUUCCUCCCCUCCAUCAACUCCCAUGUAUUCAGUGUCCCUCAGGAAAUGUCCAAAAUCUGCAGCAGAAAAAUGUAACUCAGAAAAGGUGACAUUCUAACCUCAAACUUUCAAGCAGAAGCCCAGCAAGCUCCUGAACCCAGAGUCAGGAUGCCUUCCAGAGCAAGCUGCCACUGAGGCCCUGCCAGAAGGCAGUGAUGAGCCCAGGAGGCCUGCCCAGCAGCUGCAGGGAGGGGGCGGAGGAUUGGGGCCGCAUCUGCGAGCAUCUGAGCCUCUAUUCUAAAAUACCUGUUAGCACUGGAUGCCGGGGUUUCCAUGGUGACUGAAGACUCUGCCACCUGGUCCACCCCUGUUAUGACCACAGUGGGCCCCAAUCUAAUGUUGCCAUCAAGAGUGAUAGCCCAGAUGUGCUGGAUGUGACUAGCAGGAACAAGGAGAAAUGCAGCCCUUAGCUGCGGGGGCGGCGCUCCAUUUUGCUAAGGAAUAGCUUAUGCUUUGGACAAGGGAAGCCGGCUCUGUUGUCCCCAACUGCCCACCUUGCCACAGGGGCAGCAGGGACUGGGAGAAGAGAGUGUGGAGUCUGUUACCGAGCUCCUCUGAGAAACAGACGCCAAAACUAAAUUGCAGGGGUUUUAGGAGGGAACAGACAUAAUGAAAAGAAUGAGAAAAAACUGGGUAAGCCACUAGACCAUGAAGCAAGUGUGACCCCCAGUGUGGGGGAGAGAGGGGAAGAGGAUGGGUGGGACUGCUCAGGACUGUGUUCUAAGGAAAAUACGUGGAGCCUUUAGGGAGUCUUUGAAACAGUCAGCAAAGAAGGUUUGGCUGUGCCAGCAACAAGUCAGCCUUAGCAUCCCCAGCACACUCGGUCAUCAGAGGAGAGCUGCCACGGGAGCUCCGUACCAGCUGGACACCUGGGGGCAGCAGCCCCGCCUGGAGGAGGUCAGGCACAGAGUCCUAUGCACUGAGGCUGGAUGGAAGUGCAGCUGAGGGAACCCAGAGGUCCCUGGGGCCAAAGCCAGGACCAGCAGGAGAACACACACAAUAAGAGCUAGAAGACCUCCUUGCUGGUGGGUUUGUCCUAAAAGGGAGCAGGCAGGCGGGAAGAGAAACUCCUGCAAGAAACCAGAACACCAUCUGUGGGGCUCAGGGAUCGGGUGUUGUCAGGAAAGAGGCUCUUUUCUAUUUAUUUUUAAAAUCAAAGUUACACAUUCACAUGGAGAAACAAAUGGUCAAAUAACACCUAAGAGGCUUUAUUUCAGGACACAGCUACUCUGUCCCCCUUUUCUCAUUGUCUGCCCACAAAACCAUUUUCCAUUCUAUGACCUGAGUCACAAAGACCUUCUGUGCUGUCUCCCUCUGCCAGGGUGCUGGCCACCCCCUCCAUUACUUGAGCCCUUACAGCUAUGCAUGAUUGCUGCAUUGGUAAUUUGUUGCAACAAUUUGGUGAUAACAAUUUAACACUUAACCCAGUUUUCCACCUGUAUAACAUCUCAUAGCCGAUUAAAUGAGAUUUUCACUCA